GAUGAACGCUAGCUACAGCCUUAACACAUGCAAGUCGAGGGGAAACGACAUUGAGUGCUUGCACUCUUUGGACGUCGACCGGCGCACGGGUGAGUAACGCGUAUCCAACCUUCCCAUUACUGUGGGAUAACCUGCCGAAAGGCAGACUAAUACCGCAUAGUCUUCGAUGACGGCAUCAGAUUUGAAGUAAAGAUUUAUCGGUAAUGGAUGGGGAUGCGUCUGAUUAGCUUGUUGGCGGGGUAACGGCCCACCAAGGCAACGAUCAGUAGGGGUUCUGAGAGGAAGGUCCCCCACAUUGGAACUGAGACACGGUCCAAACUCCUACGGGAGGCAGCAGUGAGGAAUAUUGGUCAAUGGACGGAAGUCUGAACCAGCCAAGUAGCGUGCAGGAUGACGGCCCUAUGGGUUGUAAACUGCUUUUGUAUGGGGAUAAAGUUAGGGACGUGUCCCUAUUUGCAGGUACCAUACGAAUAAGGACCGGCUAAUUCCGUGCCAGCAGCCGCGGUAAUACGGAAGGUCCAGGCGUUAUCCGGAUUUAUUGGGUUUAAAGGGAGCGUAGGCUGGAGAUUAAGUGUGUUGUGAAAUGUAGACGCUCAACGUCUGAAUUGCAGCGCAUACUGGUUUCCUUGAGUACGCACAACGUUGGCGGAAUUCGUCGUGUAGCGGUGAAAUGCUUAGAUAUGACGAAGAACUCCGAUUGCGAAGGCAGCUGACGGGAGCGCAACUGACGCUUAAGCUCGAAGGUGCGGGUAUCAAACAGG
rnacentral:rRNA from 1 species